UUUCCGUAGGUGAACCUGCGGAAGGAUCAUUCAUAAUAAGUGUUUUAUGGCACUUUUUUAAAUCCAUAUCCACCUUGUGUGCAAUGUCAGAGUUGAUUUUUCUCUCGAGAGGAUCAACCCCAAACAUCAACUAUAUCUCAACUCUUUGUCUGAAAAAUAUUAUGAAUAAAACAAUUCAAAAUACAACUUUCAACAACGGAUCUCUUGGCUCUC
rnacentral:misc_RNA from 1 species